CAGAGGUGCCUUUCUGAUCCUAGAAAUAGUGGCGUGAACAACUACUAUUAUUCCAGGUCAAAAGGCACUUCUUCAGUUAAACCGCCGAACUCACACCAAAUUUAUCGGUGGAUCCAG
rnacentral:sRNA from 22 species